rnacentral:rRNA from 1 species
GAUGAACGCUGGCGGCGUGCCUAAUACAUGCAAGUCGAGCGAACAGAUAAGGAGCUUGCUCCUUUGACGUUAGCGGCGGACGGGUGAGUAACACGUGGGUAACCUACCUAUAAGACUGGAAUAACUCCGGGAAACCGGGGCUAAUGCCGGAUAACAUGUUGAACCGCAUGGUUCUACAGUGAAAGGCGGCUUUGCUGUCACUUAUAGAUGGACCCGCGCCGUAUUAGCUAGUUGGUGAGGUAACGGCUCACCAAGGCAACGAUACGUAGCCGACCUGAGAGGGUGAUCGGCCACACUGGAACUGAGACAAGGUCCAGACUCCUACGGGAGGCAGCAGUAGGGAAUCUUCCGCAAUGGGCGAAAGCCUGACGGAGCAACGCCGCGUGAGUGAUGAAGGUCUUCGGAUCGUAAAACUCUGUUAUUAGGGAAGAACAAAUGCGUAAGUAACUGUGCGCGUCUUGACGGUACCUAAUCAGAAAGCCACGGCUAACUACGUG